rnacentral:rRNA from 1 species
AUUGAACGCUGGCGGCAUGCCUUACACAUGCAAGUCGAACGGUAACAGGUCUUCGGAUGCUGACGAGUGGCGAACGGGUGAGUAAUACAUCGGAACGUGCCUAGUAGUGGGGGAUAACUACUCGAAAGAGUGGCUAAUACCGCAUGAGAUCUACGGAUGAAAGCAGGGGAUCGCAAGACCUUGUGCUACUAGAGCGGCCGAUGGCAGAUUAGCUAGUUGGUGGGAUAAAAGCUUACCAAGCCGACGAUCUGUAGCUGGUCUGAGAGGACGAUUCGCCACAAUGGGACUGAGACACGGUCCAGACUCGUACGGGAGGAAGCAGUGAGAAAUUUAGGACAAUGGGCGAAAGACUGAUCCAGCAAUGCCGCGUGCAGGAUGAAGGCAUUCGGGUUGUAAACUGCUUGUGUACGGAACGAAAAGCCCCGGGUUAAUACCCUGGGGUAAUGACGGUACCGUAAGAAUAAGCACCGGCUAACUACGUGCCAGCCGCCGUAGUAA